UCUGGGACAACUGAUGGAUGUACUGCUUCAGCGUCUCCAGCCGUAUUGCCAGCUUGAGUGCAUACGCGGAUGACUUGCUGCUUCUCGUCGAGGGAAAUUCCCGAGCUGUGCUAGAGGAAAAAGGAGCGCAACUAAUGUCCAUCGUAGAAACGUGGGGAGGGAAGUUGGCGUUGCCGUCUCGACCAGCAAGACGGUAAUCAUGCUGCUGAAAGGUGCCUUGAGACGUGCGCCUACGGUGAGGUUUGCUGGAGCGAACCUUCCGUAUGUGCGUAGCUGUCGGUACCUUGGCAUCACGGUAGUGAAGGAAUGAAAUUCCUCACGCACAUAGCUUCGCUUCGCCAGCGGAUGACAGGAGUCGUUGGAGCAUUGGGCGCGUGUGCUUCGAGCCGACUGGGGCUUCAGUCCUGAGCCAGGCGGACCAUAUAUGACGGACUCAUGGCACUUUGUGUGCUGUUUGGUGCCCCGGUAUGGUAUGACCGCGGAACAAGUAGCUGCCCAGAGGCGACUAGCCUCCUGCCAGAGGCUAAUCUGCUUGGAUGCCUUUCGGUAUGCCGAACAGUGUCCACAGUGGCACUGCAGGUACUUGGUGGAGCUCCCGCUUGAUCUGGCUGCUAAGUUAUUAGCGAUUAAAUACAAGCUAAAACGUGGAUUCCCGCUGGGAGAACGACUGGCUUUACGGCGAGGACAUUGCGUGUCUUAGCUGGGAGCAGAGGAAGACUCGCCUAGAGGAGUGUUUAAUCCAGAGUUGGCAGAACAGAUGGGACGAUGACAGCGAACCAGGACGGGUGACGCAUAGGUUUAUCCCAUACGUCACUCUUGCCUAUCGGGAUCCAAGUUUUGGAUUCUCGAUGAGGACGUCUUUCCUGCUUACAGGGCACGGGUCGUUCAAUGCAUUUUUGCAUGGGAGAGCCCUCAGCGAUACCACUGCUUGCGCAUGUGGAGAUCCAUAUGAGGACUGGAUGCAUAUCUUGUGCGCUUGCCCCCUAUAUGCAGAUCUGCGGGACCUAGAUGGACUUGGAGUGCAGCGCCUUGGCGAAAACUGGAUCUUCGAGGGAAUCCUGGAUGAUCAAGAGAAGACUCAACGGCUGGCAAUGUUUGCGGAAGAAGUGUUCCUGAGGAGGAGGGGCGUUUAGCUCAGCAUCUCUGCCGUGUGGUUAGCGGGCGAGAAUACUACCACAGUCCGCUGUUGCUUGUCGUAAGAGACGACUAAUACAGCGAUAGGAUUCCUCUAACCCUGCUUGUCGGAGCAAAAGGGGAGGCCACCGAGCCUCUUUUCGGUACCACGGGUUGAGCAGCUAUCCAAGACUGCUCAUUGAGGUAGGCCCCUGGUGGGAGUAUCGUGGUGGCUGUGGUUGGUACCCAUAUCGCGGGUAGAGCCUUCAUGCUCGACGUUUGAGUUACGGUGCUAGUUGCGCAAAACUCGGGUGCUGUGACCCAGAGAUCAGUAGAGAUUUUAGGUAGAUCUCGCUCCUCAGCAAGGGGGAGUGCUUGCCCGGCAAGCAAGUACUCGAAUUGCUACCGGGGUGGUCGCUAUGUACAUAGCUAUAGCUUCUAGUCCGGGACGCUUGUCUGGCGUAUCCAGACACAUGCACCAUAUGCUCACUUGUGGGUGUAUAGGGUGCCGUGGUUGUAAUCCCUUCAGUGUGGAACACGCCACGUAAAAUAAGUUCGGAGGGAUCCGAAAAGCAUACAUUGUCCCUAUCUACUAUCUAGCGAAACCACAGCCAAGGGAACGGGCUUGGAAUAAUUAGCGGGGAAAGAAGACCCUUUUGAGCUUGACUCUAAUCUGGCAGUGUAAGGAGACAUAAGAGGUGUAGAAUAAGUGGGAGAUAUUAGACCUCGGUUUGGUAUCGUCAAUGAAAUACCACUACUCUUAUUGUUUCCUUACUUACUUGAUUAAAUGGAACGUGUAUCAUUUCCUAGCCAUUAUACGGAUAUAUUUAUUAUAUCUUAUGGUAUUGGGUUUUGAUGCAAGCUUCUUGAUCAAAGUAUCACGAGUUUGUUAUAUAAUCGCAAACAAAUUCUUUAAUAAAACGAUGCAUUUAUGUAUUUUUGAUUUGAAAAUUUGGUAUAACUCCAAUUACUCAGGUAUGAUCCAAUUCAAGGACAUUGCCAGGUAGGGAGUUUGACUGGGGCGGUACAUCUCUCAAAUAAUAACGGAGGUGUCCCAAGGCCAGCUCAGUGCGGACAGAAACCACACAUAGAGCAAAAGGGCAAAUGCUGACUUGAUCUCGGUGUUCAGUACACACAGGGACAGCAAAAGCUCGGCCUAUCGAUCCUUUUGGUUUAAAGAGUUUUUAACAAGAGGUGUCAGAAAAGUUACCAUAGGGAUAACUGGCUUGUGGCGGCCAAGCGUUCAUAGCGACGUCGCUUUUUGAUCCUUCGAUGUCGGCUCUUCCUAUCAUUGUGAAGCAAAAUUCACCAAGCGUUGGAUUGUUCACCCAUGCAAGGGAACGUGAGCUGGGUUUAGACCGUCUGAGACAGGUUAGUUUUACCCUACUAAUGACAAAACGUUGUUGCGACAGCAUUCCUGCGUAGUACGAGAGGAACCGCAGGUACGGACCAAUGGCACAAUACUUGUUCGAGCGAACAGUGGUAUGACGCUACGUCCGUUGGAUUAUGCCUGAACGCCUCUAAGGUCGUAUCCGUGCUGGACUGCAAUGAUAAAUAAGGGGCAAUUUGCAUUGUAUGGCUUCUAAACCAUUUAAAGUUUAUAAUUUACUUUAUAAACGACAAUGGAUGUGAUGCCAAUGUAAUUUGUAACAUAGUAAAUUGGGAGGAUCUUCGAUCACCUGAUGCCGCGCUAGUUACAUAUAAAAGCAUUAUUU
rnacentral:rRNA from 1 species